rnacentral:rRNA from 1 species
AUUGAACGCUGGCGGCAUGCUUUACACAUGCAAGUCGAACGGCAGCACGGGCUUCGGCCUGGUGGCGAGUGGCGAACGGGUGAGUAAUAUAUCGGAACGUACCCAGCAGUGGGGGAUAACGUAGCGAAAGUUACGCUAAUACCGCAUACGAUCUAUGGAUGAAAGCAGGGGACCGCAAGGCCUUGUGCUCCUGGAGCGGCCGAUAUCUGAUUAGCUAGUUGGUGAGGUAAAGGCUCACCAAGGCGACGAUCAGUAGCUGGUCUGUGAGGACGACCAGCCACACUGGAACUGAGACACGGUCCAGACUCCUACGGGAGGCAGCAGUGGGGAAUUUUGGACAAUGGGCGCAAGCCUGAUCCAGCGAUGCCGCGUGAGUGAAGAAGGCCUUCGGGUUGUAAAGCUCUUUUGUCAGGGAAGAAACGGUAGAGGCUAAUAUCCUGUGCUAAUGACGGUACCUGAAGAAUAAGCACCGGCUAACUACGUG